GACGGAAACUACCAGACACAGGCCAUCAGCAUUCACCACCAACCACGCAAAGUGACCGGCGCCUGCUUCUUUGUGUUCAGCGGUUCUCUAAAGGCAGGACACCUGGCCAAGACCAGCAUCGUAGAAGAUGGUGUGAUGGUGCAAAUCACAGGAGAAACUAUGGACGCUCUACGGCAAGCCCUGAGGGACAUGAAGGACUU